rnacentral:lncRNA from 1 species
GUGCAAUACACUGUUGUAUUAACAACCAUCGGUGGAGGCAACACAGGGCUCAAACAAAAGGAAGCAAGGCUCAGGAUAAGCAUACGUCUUACUAGCCAGCCGAUUGCGAGACCACCGGUACGCGAUGGUGCUCUACGGGUCACAAAUCGGUGAUUUUCCACCGUAAAUGGAGUGCCCUGGCAGGGGACUACACGGAGAUUCGUCACAUCAAGGAUGUCCAUCAUAUGUCCUAGUUGGGAAUACGCCUGGUCCACUUCCGUUGUAAGUUGUGCACGACUUGCUUGCGGAGAAGUCAGUGAUCG